rnacentral:rRNA from 1 species
AUUGAACGCUGGCGGCAUGCCUUACACAUGCAAGUCGAACGGCAGCACGGGUGCUUGCACCUGGUGGCGAGUGGCGAACGGGUGAGUAAUACAUCGGAACAUGUCCUGUAGUGGGGGAUAGCCCGGCGAAAGCCGGAUUAAUACCGCAUACGAUCCCCGGAUGAAAGCGGGGGACCUUCGGGCCUCGCGCUUUCGGGUUGGCCGAUGGCUGAUUAGCUAGUUGGUGGGGUAAAGGCCUACCAAGGCGACGAUCAGUAGCUGGUCUGAGAGGACGACCAGCCACACUGGGACUGAGACACGGCCCAGACUCCUACGGGAGGCAGCAGUGGGGAAUUUUGGACAAUGGGCGAAAGCCUGAUCCAGCAAUGCCGCGUGUGUGAAGAAGGCCUUCGGGUUGUAAAGCACUUUUGUCCGGAAAGAAAUCCUUGGCUCUAAUACAGUCGGGGGAUGACGGUACCGGAAGAAUAAGCACCGGCUAACUACGUG